UACGUAGGGUGCAAGCGUUAAUCGGAAUUACUGGGCGUAAAGCGUGCGCAGGCGGUUAUGCAAGACAGAGGUGAAAUCCCCGGGCUCAACCUGGGAACUGCCUUUGUGACUGCAUAGCUAGAGUACGGUAGAGGGGGAUGGAAUUCCGCGUGUAGCAGUGAAAUGCGUAGAUAUCAGGAGGAAUACCGAUGGCGAAGGCAGCCCCCUGGGUCGAUACUGACGCUCAUGCACGAAAGCGUGGGGAGCAAACAGG
rnacentral:rRNA from 1 species